UCCCAAAACCAUGUGAAUUUAUCUCUUUGAUGUGCCAUCGCGCGCAAGACUACCCGGGACCCAGCGCCCCGGGCGGCCCGCCGGCGGACAAGACCAAAUACUCUAUGUUAUAUCUUAGCUUGAGUGUAUCUGUAGGCGUCUUAUUCUAAUAAGUUCUAAGAGAGCUUCUCAACGAAGCGGCAUCUCUGUGGCUUCUGGCNAUCGAUGAAGAACGCAGCGAAAUGCGAUAAGUAAUGUGAAUUGCCAGAAUUCAGUGAAUCAUCGAAUCUUUGAACGCACAUUGCGCCCAUUAGUAUUCUAGUGGGCAUGCCUGUUCGAGCGUCAUUUCAACCCCUAAGCACAGCUUACUGUAGGGACUCUACGGGCCCCGUAGUUCCCCAAAGCCAUUGGCGGAGUGGCAGUAGUCCUCUGAGCGUAGUAAUUCUUUAUCUCGCUUUUAGUAUAGGCGCUGCCCCCCCGGCCGUUAAACCCCCCAAUUUUUUCUGGUUGACCUCGGAUCAGGUAGCGAAUACCCGCUGAACUUAAGCAUA
rnacentral:rRNA from 1 species